CUUCACAUUCUCCUCAGAUCUUAGACUGCAAAGACAAUGAAUUCUUCUAUCAUCUCUUAGCCUCUCCUAGGUUCAACGUAUUUCUCUUAAUCUCGCCAAUAAAUGUUAUUAUCAUUAAGCUGGUGACCUCUCCGUUGCCUUCACGUCGAAUCACUAAAAUGGAGAGGGUUGAGAGUUGGGAUAAACACCCACAACCACUCUCUGUUAAUCUUCUUCAUCAAGCGUUGCAAGAUUCUUCGAUAAUGUCUUCUUCCGGUGCUGUGACUGUGACUCUUUUGCUCACCAUGGAAGUCCAAACAUGCUGUGUUAUUACGAAUACUUCAUAACUCCCACUCGAGCCGUUUCGACCGGUGGUUACAUUUACUUUAUACAUAACGACUUUCCAGCGAUGAAUUCCACCUAUAACUCCUUCAUCAUCUAUUGUUUUCUCCAUUUCCUCUGUUCUUUCACUUUCGAAAUAACUGAACUUAUGGCAAAGAUCUUAUUGAUAUUCUCUCCUCUGUCAGGAUCCAUGAUCCACCAAAGAGAUAUGCAAGGCUCUGCGAACGAACAUGGUCUUGAAGGAAAAAAAGAAAAGCAAAGAUAAACUGAAAGUUAUCGUAUAGGUCUCUCCCACCACUUCUCCAAACUAUCUGAUUGCUGUGAAGAAUGCUUAAUGUUCUCUCUUUGACUCAUCGCUUGAAGAAUACAUUGCUUCUUCUGUGCCUUCUCCCUUCGCAAAGGUUGUAAGAUAUAUGGUUGCAUUGAUUUCUGAGAAGAGACUUUGCAAAGGUACUAAAAAUAUUGAGCAGAUUCAAAUAUCAAAAGGAUCAAGAAAGACAAUAAAUUAUAAUCAAGUCGUCGAGGCAAAGAUCUUAGACGCAUCUUUAAGGUAAGGGAGAUAGAAAAAAGGACCACCGCCGAUCCAAAAAUCUUCAUUGUAAUAAGACUUUAUACCUUCCGUGGAAGGCAAGCAAAGAGACAUCUUUGUAGGAAGCUUGUACAUGGAGACAAGCUGCGAGGGAACAGAUAAGUAAGUGGUUGUUAGCGAGACCAAUGGAUCCACCGAAAUCCUUGGGGGUAGGUUUCAACGCAGUAGCAUCGUCAGUGCACGUCAAAGUAACGUAGAGAUCUUUUCGCCGUCCAUGGAGUAUAUUCCAUUAGGUGUGUAUAGUAAGCCAAUGAUGUCUUGAAGGAGCCUGGUAUUGACUGGUCGAUCUUGUCUGAUGGAGUGGUAAGAAGUGGAUUUGGCGGCGGUGGAGCAGUUUAGUAAUAGAGGCGUGGCUCUGUUGAGGUCAAUAAGGAAGCUUUGGCUGCGGAGGUUCGGGCCGAUGGUCAAAGGCAUGCAAGGAGUAGAGAUUUGUGGUCUUGUCUUUGUAAAUAAGGGUGCAGAAAAUUGAACCUUUGGUUUGUAGUAAGACUGAGAUGUACUUGCUUCAUGGAUAAUUAAUGAUGAGUGAAAGCACUGAGAAGAUCACACGAUGAACAAAUUCUUAAUGGACAUUACUUCGUGGAUAAUGAUUAUAUUUAUAAAAUGACAUAGACAUU